rfam:Marinitoga piezophila KA3, complete genome.
ACUCGCAGAGCACCCGAAAAAAACUGCGAAUGAAGAGAGUCAAAAAAACAGGAUGUUUUUUUGAGCGAAGCUUCCCCAGGGAUGGGGAAUCUGAGCGACUCCGCGGAUAUGAGCAGUUUUUGAGGAUUAGUGCUCAAGUCGU